rnacentral:lncRNA from 1 species
CACAGAUCUUAGCUCAGGGCCAGGCUUCCUCAGCAAAAAGAGGAGGACUGGCAGUAGUUAGCUCAGGGCUAAUCUUCCUCAAAAACAAAAACAAAAACAAACAUUAAAUGCUCUCUUCUUUUUUAUUUGCCAACUAGUUCAUUACUUAGAACCAUCUUUGACCCUUUCCCCUUACCGUCUUCACCUUAUCAGUUACCAAUUCUACAGCCUUUCCCUCAUCCAACCCUUUUCUCUGUUGCCGUUACCAGCAACACUGUCUUUCAGGUUUUCUUUUUUCUUGAACUGCUGCAAAGACCUUCUACUGGUCUCCCAACUCAGAGCACUGCCUCCCUUUCAUGCAUCUGCCCUGCAGGGCUCUGUGCUUUCCCCCCGAGCACCUUCAGUGGACGUCCAGCAGCUGUCAAAUAAGUUUCAAGCUCCUUGGCUCGGCUUUGAAAGCUCCCCUCCCUCUGCCUCCUGCCUGUCUUUGGUGGCUUGUCUUCCACCCCGCUGCCCCUUCACUCCAGCCUAAGGAUGGUAUCUGCCCUGUUCUUGAACACCUGAUGGUCCUUCCCAACUGUGGUCACCUGUUCUGAUUCCCCCUCCCCGACCUCGGUCCAAAUCUCACCCCUUCUUCAAGGCUCACCUCAGAUGCACGUCUUCCAUGACGUCUUCUCCGAUCCCCUGGACAUAGAGACAGUUCUCAGAACUCCCACAGUGCUGUGAAACUGAUAACUAUACUGCAUUCUGCCAUGAUGAUGAGAACGAUGACGACUUCUUUGUGUGAUAGUGUCAAUAUAGCUACUAAUUAUUGAGCAUUUACUAGCUAGGCAUCUUGGGCACAUUAUGUAACUUCUCCAUGCCUCCGUUUUUCAUCUGUAAACUGGUGGUGACAGCACCUAGCUCAAAGGGUUGUUGUGAGAAUUCAUUGGAAUCAUGCCUGGCACAAAGUACCUGAUUAGUAAACAUCAGCUAUUGUUAUUACUAUGAGUAUAGGGGAGUACUUUAUAUUGUCUCAACUAACCCUCAGACCCCAUGAACUAGGAUACUAUUAAUAUAAUCUUUUUAAAAAAAUCAUGGUAAAAUAAACAUAAAAUUUGACAUCGUAAC